rnacentral:tRNA from 3 species
GGGAGCGUGGCGGAAUUGGCAGACGCAGCGGACUUAAAAUCCGCCAUCUUCGGAUAUGUGGGUUCGAGUCCCACCGCUCCUACCA